UUCCAGUAUGUGUUUGGCGAUUCUACUGUGCCAGUUUGAUCGGAAAAGGGAACGAGAUAAAAUCAACAUCGAUUGGCCAAUUAACCGGCGUCCUUUGUCGGACAUCGUGCCUCGACUGCAUUCGAGAGACCAAUCGUUAUCUCUUUUUCCAGAUUUUUAAAGAUUUUUUAUGCAACAAUAUAUAUUUCGAAUUUUUACAAAGCUUUAAAAUUUUAAUCUAUAAACUUUUGUGAUCUCGAAAGAUACUCGUAGAAAAAUAUGCAACUAUUGAAUGAUAUAAGUAAAAUGAUUGUUGAAAAAUUGUACUCUGCGACAAGCAUUUUGCGGAGAAAUCAAAAGUAAUUGAACAAAUAGAGGACUGGAGGCUGAUUUCGAAUCCGAUUUUCGAUCGAAAGUUACGCGAGUGACGAGAAAAUUUCUCGAUGGUUCUUCGUGGUUUGCUGGCACCAGCGGCGGCGCGAUGGACACGAAAUAAAUCAAGGGGUCAAGAGAAGCAGGCUGCUGGACAAUUAGGAUUAUCACGUUAUGGACCGCAGGUGAUGAGUGUAUUGUGUUUAUGCACCACAGUACAUCAAACCGGUCAUCAGAAUAACAAUCAAGCAAGCAAAAUACUUCCAAACACAUCGCCAAUCUCAUCUGAAGAAGAGAGUAUAAACUCGUUGCAGGAAAUACCCACCGACGAACUGGCUCUAUUAGCUAAGCUGGAGGAAGCCAAUAGGCUUAUCGAAUCGGAUGCAAAGUCGUUGAACUCGCUCCAAAGCAAUCACAGUAGGAAAGGUUCUGACACAUCUCAAGUGUCUGUGGCGUCGGGGGGCAGCGGAGGAAAUGGCGAUGCUGCACCCCGACGUCACAAUUCAGCUGAUGGUGAAGAGAACACAUGGACCCUAUGGGGUCACAUUGUCGCUGAUUGGGAUUAUCAUUGGAAGAAGAGGAAAGAAUUCGUCAAAGAAUUAGUGCGUCAAGGAAUACCUCAUCAUUUUAGAGGUAUUGUUUGGCAGUUAUUAAGUGGUGCUCAUGAUUCUCCUGUGAAAAAGCAAUUCGCUGAGUAUAUCAAGGCCACGUCCGCAUGCGAAAGGAUAAUCAGAAGGGAUAUAGCCAGAACGUAUCCUGAGCAUGAUUUUUUUAAGGAAAAAGAUGGGCUUGGUCAGGAGAGUUUAUUUAACGUUAUGAAAGCGUAUAGUCUUCAUGAUCGUGAAGUAGGAUACUGUCAAGGUUCGGGAUUUAUUGUAGGAUUACUCCUUAUGCAGCAAAUGCCAGAAGAAGAAGCUUUCGCUGUACUGGUAGCGCUUAUGCAAGAGUAUCGUUUGCGAGACAUGUUCAAGCCGAGUAUGGCUGAAUUAGGGGUGUGCAUGUAUCAACUAGAACAUUUAGUUGCUGACACGCAUCCCGAGUUACACGCUCAUUUUGCGGCUCAAGGUUUUCAUACAUCGAUGUACGCAUCGUCUUGGUUUCUUACGCUUUUUACUACAACGCUCAGUCUAUCGCUGGCCUGCCGCAUUUUUGACGUGUUUCUAUCUGAAGGCAUGGAAAUUAUUUUCAAAGUUGCACUGGCCAUGUUACAUUUAGGCAAGGAAGAUUUAUUAAGCUUGGACAUGGAAGGCAUGUUGAAGUUCUUUCAGAAACAAUUACCUGGAAGAGCGGAGAAAGAUCCUGAUGGCCUCAUGAAUCUUGCUUAUAGUAUGAAAAUAAAUCCAAAAAGAAUGAAGAAACUUGAAAAAGAUUAUACCGUGUUGAAAAUGAAAGAGCAAGAAGAGAUGAUUGAGCUCCGUAGACUUAGAGCUGAGAAUAGGUUACUUAGACAAAGAACUGAACUUCUGGAAGCUGAAUCUGCAGAGUUGGCAGAUAGAUUGGUCAGGGGUCAAGUUUCCCGAGCAGAAGAGGAAGAAACUGCUUUUGUUGUACAAAGAGAAUUAGCAGCUCUUCGACACACUCAUCUUGAAACCAGUCAUCAACUUGAACAAGCUCAUGAAGAAUUGAGAUCAUUGUCGCUUUUACUAGAAGAAAAUGUGACAUCAAAACAAUCCUCUUUGGAUGAAAUUUUAUUAAAACAGGAAGCAUUGUCGCAAAAAGAAGAAAUGAUACAAUGUUUACAAGAAGAAUUAGUAAAGGUUCGAUUAUAUGAGGCAGAGAAUGAAGCGACGAUAAGAGAACUUAGAUCAAGAAUACAAGAAUUAGAAGAAGAUAAAAAAACAUUACGAGAAACAACACCGGAUAAUUCUGUUGCUCAUUUACAAGAAGAAUUGAUUGCAGUGAAACUAAGAGAAGCAGAGGCUAAUCUUUCUUUAAAGGAUCUUCGACAAAGAGUAAUGGAAUUAAGCAGUGCCUGGCAAAGGCAUUUGCAAGAACAUCGUUCCGCCCAAACGCAACCCGCAAGUGAUUCUACGCCGAAGAAACUUCUAUUUUGGGAGAAUCGGGGACAUGAAGUGCAAAAAUAUGAAGAAGAUUUAAUGACAACUAGAAUUCGAGAAAUGGAAGCUUUAACCGAAGUGAAGGAACUUAGACUUAAAGUUAUGGAGCUUGAGACUCAAGUGCAAGUUGCUACAAAUCAACUACGUCGACAAGACGAAGGUGGAAAAUUCAUUAAGGAUGAAUUAGAAGCUGCCUUAGCUAGAGAGAAAGAACUUACUACUAAAUUACGAGAGCAACAACAUAAAUAUUCCGAUUUAGAAUCAAAGAUGAAGGAUGAAGCUAUGAUGGCUAGGAUACGUGAUGCAGAGCAUGCGCAGCAAGUAGCAGAACUUACGCAAAAAAUAUCUCUCCUUGAGUUAAAAAAUGAAGAGAUGCAUGCGGAAGGUGAACUUAGAAAUAACUUGGAUGAUAGUGAAAGAGUCAGAGAAUUACAAGAUAAAGUUGCAGAAUUAAAAGCUGAGUUCCCUACGCCAAUCACCAGCCCGGAGACUGAGCCUUGGCGCUGGCUCGAGUAAGUCUUUAUCCAUCCGACAAUUCAUCUCAAUCUACAAUCAAGUGCUAUGAGAUUCAGAAAAACAUUAGAAUAACAAAUGUUCUUAUUUUUGAAUUUUGAUAUUCUAAUGUCUUUGGACUUUUCUUUGAUACCUACACAUUUGUUCCCCCAUUACCUCGAUUUCUUGUGCUGUCUUACAAUUGUACAUGUAGCAGAGCACUCAGUUUGAUUCUCAUUUGGUCAUGAGGCUAGAAAGUUGGAAACAACGUUGGACAGGUCAUGGUGGACAAAAUGUAAGAAGUUUCAGUGUUGACACUGAAAGUGAAUUGGACGAGCGGGAUCUCAGAAUUUGUUUACAGGAUCAUAUCAAUGCGUCUACACAAAACUCACCAGAGAUUAAUGAAAGUGAAAGUGAAACCGAACGAGAUAAUCGGGAGUACUCUUGUAAAACUUAAAUAGCCCGGAUAACUCGUUCCUUAUAGCGACUUCCUAGGAUGUGAUAAUUACUUCCAACCUUGAUCAAACCCUUAACGAUCCAUACUUAUAUCUGAUUGUAUUUGAUCCAUGAGUAUAUGUUUUAAGACGAUUUAAGAGUUAAAAGUAAGUAAUCGGGAUUUAUUUACUUUUAAGAUAAAAGGAGUAGCUGAUCGAUAUCAAGAUGACUAUUUUUAUCAUGCAAUAAAUUGCAACAAAUAUCAUGAUAAAUAAUUUUAUCACUAAUUUUUUUUUUUUAUUUCUUUCGUUUGUCUAAUGCAAUAAGAGUAUUUGUUUGUACUCAUUAGCAUAUCUUUAUAUACAAGAUUAUUGAUAAAAAAAUAUAUGAAAGUGUAAAGUGUUCUUAUGAAAGUGCAAAUAAAUCAUUUUAUUACCAGAAUUAUUACCAGAAUAUAUUAGCUAGAAUUUUUUAUAUA